AUUGGUACUCCAUAUAGUAAGCUUAAUGAUGUUGAUCAUCUAAUCUUCAGCGAUCCGAUCCACAGGAAAGAAAAGAGAAAAUAAGAACAAGUGUUGCUAGAUCCGAUCCUUGGAUUUUCGUUUUAAUUUUGACAUGCAUGUUUCUUUCAUCCAAACACAAGAUCGAUCGAUUCAUAUAUUUGAAUCAGGACAGAUCGAGCUUUUAUUAGAGCGAAGCAAUGGAUUCUUUUAUCUCUUCUUUUCCUUAUUUCUCUCCUUAUUAUUGAGAGAGAAAAAUGCAUCGCUACAGAUCUACUACUAUUGUUCGAUUUACUUUUAGAUCAGAAAUUGUUGCUCAACUUUUUCUGGCUGAGCGAAUAAUUCAACCGAAUUUUCUUAACCCAAAUAUUUUUGUUAUUCAGUUAUUUUUUAUAUUCGGUUAUAGUGUUUCGGUGUUUUUUUAUUAUUCGGUUAAUUGAAUAUUAAAAUAAAUAUUAAACUUGCAGUUAAAAGAGUUAUUAAGGUCUGACUCCUUCAUCAAGAAUCAAGUAUGAGCAUAGAGAGCCAUGCCUACGUUUAUGGUAUGUAAUAACUCCUAUUUUUGUUAAAUAUUAAUUUAUUUAUUUUAAAAAAUAUAAUUAAAUUAAAAAAAGUAAGUUGUUAUUACUAUUUUUAUUUAGUUUUAAAAGUUAAAUUAUUUUAGUAGAUAAUUAAUAAUUAAUUUAAUAAAAAUUGAAUAGUCUAUUAGAAUCUUGGUAACUCUUAUAUUAUUUUGUGUUUAUAUUUAUUUAUAAUGUUUUUACUUACAUGCACUACGACUCAUUAAAAAAAAUUAUAAUUAAUUCAUCUGAUGUUAAAAUUAAAUUAAUCCAAAACUUAUUUUUUCAAAUUUUUGUUCUCUACAAUUACGAAAAAAAAUUAUUUGAUAUCAUAUUCAUGUCUUAAAUUGCUGAAAACAGCAACAUGUCAUGAUUUCCGCUACACUCAACAACGCCUUUUAUGCAAAAUUAGUUGGGGUAGGGUAGGCUGCAAAUUGAAACCCAUAUGGAAGCGAGAAAGGAAUAUGUCCAAAAAAAAAAAACUAGUAUAAUUGAGAUGUACUGAAAGGGAGAUAAAAUUAGUUUCUUGCAAUUUUCCAUGUUGCAUUUCAGAUUGGAGUAUGGAUAUAAUGUAGUAGUUCAGAUAUCUGUAAAGGCAAAUUUACAAAUAAAUAAAUGACUGUCAAUAAGUCUACAAGUAAAUCAUCAAUAGCACGACCAGGGAGCUUCACUGAACCACUACUUCCUCCACUGCAUUACCCUAUACUAGGUUUGAUGGUAAAACUCAGGCUGUUUACUACUUUACAUCUCUUCCUUACUACUGUUCUCAUAGUUAAGUUUAUGCACAGUUUCUUAAACUCUUUUCUUUCUUCUUGUUGAUAAUAUUACAUCAUAUUAUUAAAAUCAUUAUUUCAUUUCCCAGUUAAAUUUGGUUUUGUAUGCACCUUCUUCUUUUCUACUGAGUUAUAGACAAACUUCAAAUGGUCAAAUACAAUAUUCUUGCUACGCCACUAACGAGGGAUGUCGUUUGAUUGCCUCAUUAUUACUAGACUAGAUCAAAAAAUGUUUUUCUUCUAUAAAUGUCAGUGACUUUUAUCUUUAAGUCUGAUUUGUAGCUUGUAAGAUUCAAUCUCCUGUUAUAGAAGCUUAGUACAACCUCUUGAUACCUUUCUUUUCCAAAGAGUAAGAUUUUGAAUUUCUUGGGGGAGUUAAGUGUUGGUUAUGCUCCAAAAUUUAUAAUUUUGACAUAGUCCCAUAUCAUCUAUUUUGAAAAUUUUCUUUGUGUAUAUUAUUACAUGUUGACUUGAGUUUAGUAACAUGGUUGAGAAAAUAGGGAUGGGCUCGUGCACAUGAGGAUGGCUAGAAUUGGGUUGGGCUAAGCUUGGUUUUUGGACUUUCAAUCAGAAAACUUUAGUGCGGUGUGUGUGCGUGAUACGCCCGCGCAGAGGGGGGUGCUGAUCUGGUUGAUUAUGCCGUAAGUGCACCCAGAGGUAGCCCAGUUCUUCAGAGAUGAAACAGUACAACCAUAUCUCCUUCUUUUCUUUCUGUUACCAUAUCUCCUUCUUUUCUUUCUGUUACAGCAUAUACAGUCUUCUUCUUCAUCUUUUAUCUAGAUCGCGCAGAGGGGGGUGCCGAUCCGGUUGAUUAUACGGGUGCACCUAGGUAGCCCAUUGUUUUGCUUAAAUCCCUUUUAUUUCUUUUAAUACCAAGCCUAAUUGCUGAUUUAAUACCCUAGCCGUUUCUAGCCCAAUUCUUCAGAGAUGAAACAGUACAACCAUAUCUCCUUUCUUCAUCCUUUAUCUAGGUAGCCCAGUUCUUCAGAGAUGAAACAGUACAGCCAUAUCUCCUUCUUUUCUUUCUGUUACAACAUAUACAGUCUUCUUCUUCAUCUUUUAUCUAGAUAGUCUGUUCUUAUAUACUCUGUUGUUAAUUGGACAAUCCACAAAGACAAGUCCACAACCUUCUUCUGCGAGUACACGCAAUUGAAAGCUUCGCUGUUGAAUCCUGGAGGGUGAACGCCGUGAAACUCAAUUGUACCGAAGGUUUAUAACCAGUGAGGGCGGAAUCACUUUUUAGGACAGUAGUUUUGCUACGCCUCGGCUUUCUUCGUAUACCAAAUAAGUUGUUCCAGUUUUAUUCAUCAAUUGGUCUUGGUAAUACUGCUAUAUAUUCCAACAGUAAGUGUCUUUUUUCUAUUCCGUUGUGAAUAUUUGUAAUAUGUUUAGAAGCCUUUUGCUUACUAUCCUCGAUUUAUUUAUUUACGGUUACUCUUUGUAGUUGUAUUUACGUAUGAUUGAUAUUCAUAUUCAUAUUCAUUUAGUAACAGAAAAACUUAUUUCAGGUUGAGUUUUGAUAGUUGGACAUUUUUUUUGUUGUAAACACUCUGUGCUGUCUAAUAUAUUCUUUAGCUAGGUAUGCAUGCAUUUUGAACCAUGUGACAGGCAAGAAUAAUACGGUGCUUUUGAGCAUUCAACCAAAACUGUGUCAAAAGUGGAAUUCCACCUUAACUUAAAUUCUUACUCUUUUCUUGUACAGAUUGUCGAGUUUACAGUUGAACUUAUAGCUCUGCUCAGAAAAUCAAUGAUUGGUGAUACAGCUCCUCUCUGCGUGAUUGAAAACUCUACCAUUUUACUAGGUUGAAAGCUCAAUCUCUUGUCUUGUUUUAUAUCAAUUAGCUUCAAACUAGAAAAAGUUAUAUUUUGAGGUUUGUAUUGGAGCAACAGGACCUAGGAUAAAGAUGUGACUAGGCUGAUUGCUAAUUCUUCCAUUUUCCUUACUUAUGAAUGCAUAUGAAUUAUCUUUUUUCAAUUAAUGGUAAAUCUAUUUUAUCGUGG
rnacentral:lncRNA from 1 species